GAUGAACGCUGGCGGCGUGCCUAAUACAUGCAAGUCGAGCGAACAGACGAGGAGCUUGCUCCUCUGCCGUUAGCGGCGGACGGGUGAGUAACACGUGGAUAACCUACCUAUAAUACUGGGAUAACUUCGGGAAACCGGAGCUAAUACCGGAUAAUAUAUUGAACCGCAUGGUUCAAUAGUGAAAGACGGUUUUGCUGUCACUUAUAGAUGGAUCCGCGCCGCAUUAGCUAGUUGGUAAGGUAACGGCUUACCAAGGCAACGAUGCGUAGCCGACCUGAGAGGGUGAUCGGCCACACUGGAACUGAGACACGGUCCAGACUCCUACGGGAGGCAGCAGUAGGGAAUCUUCCGCAAUGGGCGAAAGCCUGACGGAGCAACGCCGCGUGAGUGAUGAAGGUCUUCGGAUCGUAAAACUCUGUUAUUAGGGAAGAACAAAUGUGUAAGUAACUAUGCACGUCUUGACGGUACCUAAUCAGAAAGCCACGGCUAACUACGUG
rnacentral:rRNA from 1 species